rnacentral:tRNA from 1 species
GGGCGCGUACGAUCAACUGGAUAGAUCGCCAGACUUCGAAUCUGGAGGGUGCGGGUUCGAGUCCCGCCGCGCUCGCCA